AGAGUUUGAUCCUGGCUCAGGAUUAACGCUGGCGGCAUGCCUAAUACAUGCAAGUCGAACGAGAGUAGCAAUACUCUAGUGGCGAACGGGUGAGUAACACGUAGGAAACCUACCUCAAAGACGAGGAUAACUACUGGAAACGGUAGCUAAAACUGGAUAGGAUAUACAAAGGCAUCUUAGUAUAUUUAAAAGUCCUUCUGGGAAUGCUAUGAGAUGGUCCUGCGGCGCAUUAGCUAGUUGGUGAGGUAAAGGCCCACCAAGGCGACGAUGCGUAGCUGUGCUGAGAGGCAAAACAGCCACACUGGGACUGAGACACGGCCCAGACUCCUACGGGAGGCAGCAGUAGGGAAUUUUCGGCAAUGGGCGAAAGCCUGACCGAGCAAUGCCGCGUGAAUGAAGAAAUUCUUCGGAAUGUAAAAUUCUGUGGUGAGGGAAGAAAGGUAUUAGAAGGAAAUGGCUAAUAUUUGACGGUACCUUACUAGAAAGCCCCGGCUAACUAUGUGCCAGCAGCCGCGGUAAUACAUAGGGGGCAAGCGUUAUCCGGAAUUAUUGGGCGUAAAGCGUGCGUAGGCGGCCACUUAAGUCUGUCGUGAAAGCCCACAGCUUAACUGUGGAGGGUCGAUGGAAACUGAGAGGCUUGAAUCUAGGAGAGGUAAGUGGAAUUCCAUGUGUAGCGGUAAAAUGCUUAGAUAUAUGGAGGAACACCAGUGGCGAAGGCGGCUUACUGGUCUAGAAUUGACGCUGAUGCACGAAAGCGUGGGUAGCAAACAGGAUUAGAUACCCUGGUAGUCCACGCCGUAAACG
rnacentral:rRNA from 1 species